rnacentral:rRNA from 1 species
UUGGCUUAGAAGCAGCCAUCCUUCAAAGAAAGCGUAAUAGCUCACUGGUCGAGUCCUUCUGCGCGGAAGAUGUAACGGGGCUAAGCUGUUAACCGAAGCCGCGGAUGCACUGGUUAUCCAGUGCGUGGUAGGGGAGCGUUCUGUAAGUCUGCGAAGGCGGUUCGAGAGGACUGCUGGAGAUAUCAGAAGUGCGAAUGCUGACAUGAGUAACGUUAAAGCAGGUGAAAAGCCUGCUCGCCGUAAGCCCAAGGAUUCCUGCUCUACGUUCAUCGGAGCAGGGUGAGUCGGCUCCUAAGGUCAGGCCGAAAGGCGUAGCCGAUGGGAAUCAGGUUAAUAUUCCUGAACCUGCGUCAGAUGCGAUGGGGGGACGGAGCAUGGAAGAUCAUCCGGGUGUUGGAAGUCCCGGUUGUUGAGCGUAGGAGGUCUGCAGGCAAAUCCGCAGACGCAUCUCCAAGGCAAAGACACGUGCCGCCACGGCGGCGAAGUGAUCGGAAGUGCUUCCAAGAAAAGCCUCUAAGCCCCAGUCUGACGCGGACCGUACCGCAAACCGACACUGGUGGGCGAGCUGAAUAUGCUCAGGCGCUUGAGAGAACUCGGGAGAAGGAACUCGGCAAAUUGACACCGUAACUUCGGAAGAAGGUGUGCCGUAGUACCGUGAGAGGAGAGACACCUUGAGCGGGAAACGGUCUCAGAGAAUAGGUGGCUGCGACUGUUUAUUAAAAACACAGCACUCUGCAAAGUCGAAAGACGACGUAUAGGGUGUGAUGCCUGCCCGGUGCUGGAAGAUUAAUUGAUGGGGUGAGAGCCCUUGAUCGAAGUCCCAGUAAACGGCGGCCGUAACUAUAACGGUCCUAAGGUAGCGAAAUUCCUUGUCGGGUAAGUUCCGACCUGCACGAAUGGCAUAACGAUGGCCACACUGUCUCCUCCCGAGACUCAGUGAAGUUGAAAUGUUUGUGAUGAUGCAAUCUACCCGCGGCUAGACGGAAAGACCCCAUGAACCUUUACUGCAGCUUUGCAUUGAACUGUGAACCGAUUUGUGUAGGAUAGGUGGGAGGCAGAGAAGAGGCCACGCCAGUGGUCUUGGAGCCGACCUUGAAAUACCACCCUGAUUUGUUUGCGGUUCUAACCACGGACAGUGAUCCUGUCUUGGGACCGUGCAUGGUAGGCAGUUUGACUGGGGCGGUCUCCUCCUAAAGGGUAACGGAGGAGUACGAAGGUACGCUAGGUACGGUCGGAAAUCGUGCUGAUAGUGCAAUGGCAAAAGCGUGCUUGACUGCGAGAGCAACAACUCGAGCAGAUGCGAAAGCAGGUCAUAGUGAUCCGGUGGCUCUGAAUGGAAGGGCCAUCGCUCAACGGAUAAAAGGUACUCUGGGGAUAACAGGCUGAUACCGCCCAAGAGUUCAUAUCGACGGCGGUGUUUGGCACCUCGAUGUCGGCUCAUCUCAUCCUGGGGCUGUAGUCGGUCCCAAGGGUAUGGCUGUUCGCCAUUUAAAGAGGUACGUGAGCUGGGUUUAAAACGUCGUGAGACAGUUUGGUCCCUAUCUGCCGUGGGCGUUGGAAGAUUGACGGGGGCUGCUCCUAGUACGAGAGGACCGGAGUGGACGCACCUCUGGUGUACCGGUUGUCACGCCAGUGGCAUUGCCGGGUAGCUAAGUGCGGAAGAGAUAACCGCUGAAAGCAUCUAAGCGGGAAACUUGCCUGAAGAUGAGUCUUCCCGGAGGUAAAACCUCCCAAAAGAGUCGUUCUAGACCAGGACGUCGAUAGGUCAGGUGUGUAAGUGCUGUAAGGCAUUGAGCUAACUGAUACUAAUUGCUCGUGAGGCUUGAUCCU